rnacentral:rRNA from 1 species
ACACCCCGUGGCGAGGGCGACUUUCUUGGUCUGUAAAUGACACUGAGGGGCGAAAGCGUGGGGAGCAAACAGGGUUUGAUACCCUGGUAUUCCACGCCCUAAACGAUGAGUGUUAAAUGUUAGGGGGUUUCCCCCCCUUAGGGCUGCAAGUUAACCAUUUACCCCUCCCCCUGGGGAGUACGGUCCCAAGAGUGAAACUCAAAGGGAUUGACGGGGGCCCCCCCAAGCGGUGGAGCAUGUGGUUUAAUUUGAAACAAAGCGAAAAACCUUUCCCGGUCUUGACAUCCCUUUGACCACCGUAGAGAUAUGGUUUCUCCUUCGGGGGCAACGGUGACAGGUGGUGCAUGGUGUUCGUCAGCUCGUGUCGUGAGAUGUUGGGUUAAGUCCCGCAACGAGCGCACCCCUUGUUUUUAGUGCCCAUCAUUUAGUUGGCCACUUUAAGGUGACUGCCGGUGACAAACCGGAGGAAGGUGGGGAGGACGUCAAAUCUUCAUCCCCCUUAUGCCCUGGGCUCCACACGUGUUCCAAUGGACGAUCCAAACGGUUCCCAACUCGCGAGAGGGAGUUAUUCCGAUAAACUCGUUCUCAGUUCGGAUGGUGGGCUGCAACUCGCCUACAUGAAGCCGGAAUCGCUGGUAUUCGGGGUUCACCAGGCCGCGGUGAAUACGUUCCCGGCCCUGGUCCACCCCGCCCGUCCCACCACGAGAGUUGUACCACCGGAGGUCGGUGAGGUACACCUUUUGGGAGC